rnacentral:misc_RNA from 1 species
GAUGAAGAACGUAGCGAAAUGCGAUAAGUAAUGUGAAUUGCAGAAUUCAGUGAAUCAUCGAAUCUUUGAACGCACAUUGCGCCCGCCAGUAUUCUGGCGGGCAUGCCUGUCCGGGCGUCAUUUCAACCCUCGAACCCCUCCGGGGGGUCGGCGUUGGGGACCUCGGGAGCCCCUAAGACGGGAUCCCGGCCCCGAAAUACAGUGGCGGUCUCGCCGCAGCCUCUCCUGCGCAGUAGUUUGCACAACUCGCACCGGGAGCGCGGCGCGUCCACGUCCGUAAAACACCCAACUUCUGAAAUGUUGACCUCGGAUCAGGUAGGAAUACCCGCUGAACUUAAGCAUAUCAAUAAGCGGAGGA